rnacentral:rRNA from 1 species
UGGGGAAUUUUGGACAAUGGGCGCAAGCCUGAUCCAGCCAUGCCGCGUGCGGGAAGAAGGCCUUCGGGUUGUAAACCGCUUUUGUCAGGGAAGAAAUCUUCUGAGUUAAUACCUCGGGAGGAUGACGGUACCUGAAGAAUAAGCACCGGCUAACUACGUGCCAGCAGCCGCGGUAAUACGUAGGGUGCAAGCGUUAAUCGGAAUUACUGGGCGUAAAGCGUGCGCAGGCGGUUUUGUAAGACAGAGGUGAAAUCCCCGGGCUCAACCUGGGAACUGCCUUUGUGACUGCAAGGCUUGAGUGCGGCAGAGGGGGAUGGAAUUCCGCGUGUAGCAGUGAAAUGCGUAGAUAUGCGGAGGAACGCACCGAUGGCGAAGGCAAUCCCCUGGGCCUGCACUGACGCUCAUGCACGAAAGCGUGGGGAGCAAACAGGAUUAGAUCCCUGGUAGUCCACGCCCUAAACGAUGUCAACUGGUUGUUGGGAAGGUUCCUUCUCAGUAACGUAGCUAACGCGUGAAGUUGACCGCCUGGGGAGUACGGCCGCAAGGUUGAAACUCAAAUGAAUUGACGGGGUC